GUGUGAACAGCGUGAGCAGAUCCUGACAGCUCGGCGCCUUGGUGUGGGUUGCACAGAGAACAGGGGCAUUGGUUCGUGCACUCAAAAGUCCAGUUGUCACCCGGGACUGGGACAUUCACAUCCCCAAGGAUGCGAUGUUGCUGUGCAGAGCCGCCCUGCCCCUGAGGCAGCAGCAGCAGGGAGAAUGUGUGCUCCUGUGUGCCUAGCCUCCCCUCCUUCAGUGGAUCAUUCAUUCUCCAGAAUAGUAAAGCAGGUGGAGAGCCUGAUGCUUGUGGAAAUGAUUUGCUCAGGGUCUCGCUGUCAGAAGUGGCAGAAAAGAUUCCAACCUGUUUUGAAUGCUGCAUACUGAGCUGACUCUCAUCCGUGCCAUCAUACCUACUUUUGGAUUUCAAUCCUCCUGAAGGGCUGGAGAUGCUGUUGACUGAUGGCCUUGGGAGGAGAGGUUGCAGCUGAGCCCACACUCUCAAAAUCCUCCAGACUGUUUCUACUUUUGUAGACUAAUUUUCUGUUAACCCAAAAUCCCUCAGACUUACUCAACCAGUACAGCAGUCAUUGGCCGGAGUUCAAUUUUCUGGUUCGAAGGAAUGUGAGUUCUACCUGCCAGUACUGAUUGUUAACAGUUAUGGCUUCAUACGUAGAGGAGGUGUGUCUUUGCUCACUACA
rnacentral:lncRNA from 13 species